ACGAACGCUGGCGGCGUGCCUAACACAUGCAAGUCGAGCGGGGACAUGCGACGGAGUCGAAGUUUUCGGAUGGAGACAAAGAUGUAUUGUCUAGCGGCGGACGGGUGAGUAACGCGUGAGCAACCUGUCCCUUACAGGGGGAUAACACAGCGAAAGUUGUACUAACACCGCAUAAGACCACAGAGUGACAUCGCUCAGGGGUCAAAGGAGCAAUCCGGUAAGGGGUGGGCUCGCGUCCGAUUAGAUAGUUGGUGAGGUAACGGCCCACCAAGUCGACGAUCGGUAGCCGACCUGAGAGGGUGAUCGGCCACAUUGGGACUGAGACACGGCCCAAACUCCUACGGGAGGCAGCAGUGGGGAAUAUUGGGCAAUGGGGGGAAACCCUGACCCAGCAACGCCGCGUGAGGGAAGAAGGUUUUCGGAUCGUAAACCUCUGUCCUUGGUGAAGAGGAAGAGACGGUAGCCAAGGAGGAAGCCCCGGCUAACUACGUGCCAGCCGCGGC
rnacentral:rRNA from 1 species